CAAGAGGCAUCUGCUUCAGGAGUGCAAACUUUCCACCUGCAGGAGAAGAGCUGCGGAUGAGAACUCGGAGUGCUCCAGAGAAGUCUGGAAUCCUGUAGGUAUAAGCUCAGCAUCACCACCAGCCCCCAGCCAGCCAUAGCCA
rnacentral:lncRNA from 13 species